UGCCAAGUAACUCCUAUCCCUACCUCCACGUGGUACCGGUCAGGCUACGAGCAACCUUAGAGGAGGAUCGGGUAACCAACCCCGGUGGGAACUUUGGUCGUAAGCUGACAGGGAAAG
rnacentral:ribozyme from 1 species